rnacentral:rRNA from 1 species
AGCGAACGCUAGCGGCGGGCCUAACACAUGCAAGUCGAGCGCAUACCUUCGGGUAUGAGCGGCGGACGGGUGAGUAACGCGUAGGUCAUCUACCCUUUGGUGGGGGAUAACCCAGGGAAACUUGGGCUAAUACCGCACGAGGUCUACGGAUCAAAGCCUUCGGGCGCCAGAGGAUGAGCCUGCGUCGCAUUACCUAGUUGGCGGGGUAACGGCCCACCAAGGGGGACGAUGCGUAGCUGGUCUGAGAGGAUGAUCAGCCACACUGGGACUGAGACACGGCCCAGACUCCUACGGGAGGCAGCAGUGGGGAAUAUUGCGCAAUGGGGGAAACCCUGACGCAGCCACGCCGCGUGGGUGAUGAAGGCCUUCGGGUUGUAAAGCCCUGUCGGGAGGGACGAAUUCUUGACGGUACCUCCAAAGAAAGCACCGGCUAACUCCGUGCCAGCAGCCGCGGUAAU